rnacentral:rRNA from 1 species
GUCUGUCCAUACCUCCCUGAACACGCCCGAUCUCAUCUGAUCUUGUGAAGCUAAGCAGGGUCGGGUCUAGUUAGUACUUGGAUGGGAGACCACUUGGGAAUACCGGGUGCUACAGACU